rnacentral:tRNA from 1 species
CAGGUAUAGUUUAAUGGCAAAACGAAUGCUUCCCAAGCCUUAGUUGCGGGUUCGAUUCCCGCUACUUG